UGCUUGGUGGUGAGAGUGGCGAACGGGUGAGUAAUGCGUGACCGACCUGCCCCAUACACCGGAAUAGCUCCUGGAAACGGGUGGUAAUGCCGGAUGCUCCAGUUGAUCGCAUGGUCUUCUGGGAAAGCUUUCGCGGUAUGGGAUGGGGUCGCGUCCUAUCAGCUUGACGGCGGGGUAACGGCCCACCGUGGCUUCGACGGGUAGCCGGCCUGAGAGGGCGACCGGCCACAUUGGGACUGAGAUACGGCCCAGACUCCUACGGGAGGCAGCAGUGGGGAAUAUUGCACAAUGGGCGCAAGCCUGAUGCAGCGACGCCGCGUGAGGGAUGGAGGCCUUCGGGUUGUAAACCUCUUUUAUCGGGGAGCAAGCGAGAGUGAGUUUACCCGUUGAAUAAGCACCGGCUAACUACGUGCCAGCAGCCGCGGUAAUACGUAGGGUGCAAGCGUUAUCCGGAAUUAUUGGGCGUAAAGGGCUCGUAGGCGGUUCGUCGCGUCCGGUGUGAAAGUCCAUCGCUUAACGGUGGAUCCGCGC
rnacentral:rRNA from 1 species